CAUGCCGAGAGAUGAGUUUCGGAUUGGUCUGCUGUGUAGCAUCUUCUGUCUAUAAAAUAAACUUCUCGUUAUGGGUAGAUAAUCCUUUCUACUGCAGUUAUUUCUAAAGAUUCAAUGUUAGCCAUGGAGAACUGCAAAUGUGUUGCUACUGCUCUUAAUAACAUUGCUGCCCUGAAUUUAUCAGCCGCUAUCGACAACGGUCUGUGGGAAAAAGUUGUGAUGUACUACUAUCAGGAGGACGAUCGUACCAUGCUGGCUCUCUGAAUCUGAAAAUUAAUCAGAUGAUGUGAACCACAGUGACUUGACACAACGUGCCAAGCAAGCUGUUCAAACAAAACGGAAAUGACACCGGACGUCUUAGUUAAUUAAAGGGUUUGCCGUCUGCUGUGAAGCGUUCUUCCAUGUAUAUGGCAUCAGUAGAACACGCCUGACUCUCUUCCACCAGUCAUAAAAGGAGAAUGGUCUAAUGCCUCCCAUCAAAAAGAGAGCUGGCCCAAGCAAGCACUUGUUCAGAGUGAGCGGUCUGUCAACCAGAAGAUGUCAACCUGUCAAGACCUGCAGUUGUCUCUGGGGGCACUACUGAAUCAGUGCACUAUUAUUCUGACUCUAUGCAGCCAGAUCCCAUCUACUUGUUUGGUGUCUGCUGUGAAGGAAAGCCACAACAAGUCAACUACUUGAUUGAUGAAGGCAUGUCAUCCAGCACGGACAAUGCACAGGCAGUCAUCAACUACAUGCACCAUUUCUUCACCGACUAUGGUUAAUAUCUACAUCACCAGAGGAACAGAGGAAGAGUAGGAUAAGGGUACGGCUAAAGGCUAUAAGUACUGGUCUAGUGCGUUGGGAACAGAGAAUAAAAGGGACAUAUUUCUGGGCGUGGUAGAAUAGA